CUAUCAUGCAGGUCGAGCGAAUGGAUUGAGAGCUUGCUCUCAUUACGUUAGCGGCGGACGGGUGAGUAACACGUGGGUAACCUGCCCAUAAGACUGGGAUAACUCCGGGAAACCGGGGCUAAUACCGGAUAACAUUUUGAACUGCAUGGUUCGAAAUUGAAAGGCGGCUUCGGCUGUCACUUAUGGAUGGACCCGCGUCGCAUUAGCUAGUUGGUGAGGUAACGGCUCACCGAGGCAACGAUGCGUACCCACCUGAGAGGGUGAUCGGCCACACUGGGACUGACACACGGCCCAGACUCCUACGGGAGGCAGCACUAGGAAUCUUCCGCAAUGGACGAAAGUCUGACGAGCAACGCCGCGUGAGUGAUGAAGGCUUUCGGGUCGUAAACUCUGUUGUUAGGGAAGAACAAGUGCUAGUUGAAUAAGCUGGCACCUUGACGGUACCUAACCAAAAAGCCCGCAAACUACGUGCCACCAGCCGCGGUAAUACGUAUGUGGCAA
rnacentral:rRNA from 1 species